GACGAACGCUGGCGGCGUGCCUAAUACAUGCAAGUGGGACGCAAGGAAACACACUGUGCUUGCACACCGUGUUUUCUUGAGUCGCGAACGGGUGAGUAACGCGUAGGUAACCUGCCUAUUAGCGGGGGAUAACUAUUGGAAACGAUAGCUAAUACCGCAUAAUAUUAAUUAUUGCAUGAUAAUUGAUUGAAAGAUGCAAGCGCAUCACUAGUAGAUGGACCUGCGUUGUAUUAGCUAGUUGGUAAGGUAAGAGCUUACCAAGGCGACGAUACAUAGCCGACCUGAGAGGGUGAUCGGCCACACUGGGACUGAGACACGGCCCAGACUCCUACGGGAGGCAGCAGUAGGGAAUCUUCGGCAAUGGACGAAAGUCUGACCGAGCAACGCCGCGUGAGUGAAGAAGGUUUUCGGAUCGUAAAGCUCUGUUGUAAGUCAAGAACGUGUGUGAGAGUGGAAAGUUCACACAGUGACGGUAGCUUAUCAGAAAGGGACGGCUAACUACG
rnacentral:rRNA from 1 species